rnacentral:tRNA from 1 species
GGUGGGAUUCCCGAGUGGUUAAAGGGAGCAGACUGUAAAUCUGCCGUCAUGGACUUCGAAGGUUCGAAUCCUUCUCCCACCA